rnacentral:rRNA from 1 species
AACGAACGCUGGCGGCAUGCCUAACACAUGCCAGUCGAACGAGACCUUCGUGUCUAGUUGCGCUCCUGUGCGUAACGCCGGGUAACUUACCCGUAGGUUCCGUGUCACUCCCCGUGAGAUGUGCUAAUACCGCAUAAUCUCUUCGGACCAAAGAUUUAUCGCCGUUGGAUGGGCCCGCGUUGGAUUAGCCAGUUGGUAGGGUAAAAGCCUAGCAAGGCGACGUUCCAUAGCUGGUCGGAGAGGAUGAUCAGCCACACUGGGACUGCGACCCGGCCCAGACCGCGACGCGAGGGAGCAGUGGGGAAUAUUGGACAAGGGGCGAAAGCCUGAUAAAGCCAUGCCGCGUGAGAGAUGAAGGCCUUAGGGUUGUAAAGCUGUUUUAGACGGGAUGAUAAUGACGGUACCGGGAGAAUAAGCACCGGCUAACUACGUG